UACGUAGGGUGCGAGCGUUAAUCGGAAUUACUGGGCGUAAAGUGUGCGCAGGCGGCCGAGCAAGUCGAGUGUGAAAGACCCGAGCUUAACUUGGGAAUUGCGCUCGAAACUACUUGGCUGGAGUGUGGCAGAGGAAGGUGGAAUUCCAGGUGUAGCGGUGAAAUGCGUAGAGAUCUGGAGGAACACCGAUGGCGAAGGCAGCCUUCUGGGCCAACACUGACGCUCAUGCACGAAAGCGUGGGGAGCAAACAGG
rnacentral:rRNA from 1 species